rnacentral:rRNA from 1 species
CGCCAUCGGCCCCAGACACCACCCACCGCGACCUGCUCCCGACCACCACCCACCACGACCCGCUCCUGGCCGCCACCCACCACGACCCACCCCUGGCCACCACCUACGCCGCCUACCCUGGCUACCCCCUACCGUCGCCUGCCCCACUCCACCCCGUCCGGAUCCGCUGAUGGGACGUGCAUCUUCCAUUGUAGUUCCCACUCUUGACCUCCAGAACCAGAGUGCCGUCCCAUCUCCUGACCUCCAGCGCCGGAGCCCCGCCCCCACCUCGAUCCUGACCUCCUGUCGUCCCGGGCUCCUCCCGCACCCGCGUUAGGCGAAGACGGCCGGCACCAUCGACUGCGGCUAGAACGCAGGGGAGAUGCCCUUUGCGGGUGGCGGCCUAAAUGUCAAACACCACCAUGCUCUUCCCCCUCCAUACUCGUCGCCGGUGCCCUCGUGGCCUUCCCAACCUCCCGCACCUCCAAUUCCUCAACUCCGGUUGCCCCCCAUGGGCUAAAAAGGGCUUCCAGAUCUGCGUCGACCCUGCCCAACGCAGAUCCAACUGCCAGAGGUGGAUCCAAGGGCGCCCGUGCAGUCCACUAUGUGGGACCACGCCUCCGAGCUCGGCCUCUCCCCUCACCUUCUUCCCUGCACCGCCGUGCCGGGCGUAGUUGCCAAGGCUAGAUUCACCAGCCCACUGUGGUGCCGCCCCCGUCCGGAUCUAGCUGGGUCCUUCAGGAUAGAUUCCCCACCUCGGACCUCUCUUCCACCUCUGAUCUCUCUGGUCUUUUGGAUGCUUGCAUUUCAACAAGGCCGCUCUGCAGUCCAAUGACCAUCGCGGUGCAGCUCGGCGAAGCCAGUGAUGUGGUACACUUGCAAAAUUGUGUAGUUUUUGCUUGCAGGUAGUGUGUGCUGCUUCAGGUGAGCUCGCCUCCGUGCAGACCACCGGCACGUCUGUGCAGUGCGUCCCAUGCAUGUGUGUAGUCUAUGGUGCAUUCUGAAUGAAGUUUGUGGGGAGACAUGUGUUCAGAAAAUACAGUUUGGAGUAUCUGCACAUGUAGUGCAAACGCUAGUUUUUGUGUUUGUGGAUUUUUUGUAUAAAGAUUACAAGGAGUCAUUUUGAUUUGCAGUGAAACAUGGUGAUGUUCAGACAUGAGCAUGCAGUUUGGACCAUGUGGACAUGUAGUGCAAGAAUGGUGUUUUCCGUGUUUGAUAAUUUGAUGUAUAGAAGUUAUAUGGACUCGUUUGAAAAUUGUUUACAAAGGAAGUUCAUUUCGAGUUGUGUUGCGACUCAUUUCCCUUACCAUGUGGUUCGCUUCUUCGCACGUGUACAACUCGCCAAUGUGGAAACCCAAAACUCCAAACAGAAAAAAGAAAGAAGGAAAUGCAGUGCAAAGAUGUGUUAAAAGAAAAAUGGUAGUGAAACAAUAACAGAAGUAAUGAUGUUCACUUGACCAUUUGAAGCAGUGUGGUCGGC